AAAGAUGCAUGAUGGAGGCCAGGAAUGCUGGCGUCCUCUGGAAGGCAAGAAAACGGGAAAGGGUCUUAGGAGAGUUGGACACAUUCAAAACACAAUAUGUGAUUAAGAAGAUUAAAGAUUAAUACUUAUUGAUGGAUUACUAUGUGCCAAACUUCCAACCGAAUCCUGACAACAAUUCCUUAAGAUGUGGAAACUGCAGUUCACUGAGGUUGACAUUUCCGGGUUCAUACAACAAGGAUGGGGUAAGCUGUGAUAUCAUCUGAUCUUCAUGAUUUUUUUAUGGUUAUUUUUCAUGAGAAUUCCUCAAGCAAAGGUAAUGACUAAAAGGAGAGAGAGGGAGGGAGAACAGGGAAGGUGGGCUAUCUGGAGAGAUGGCACGGGGUCACUGUAAAAGACUUAUCUUUGUGUUAUUAAGGCAUAAGUGAUCCAAUUUAGGGACAAUCAAGUCAUUUCUGUAUCAGUCAACAAGAUAAAAAAUAAAAAUGCUUAAUAUCUGUUUAAAUGAGAAGAUCGGGACUUAGGUCAGUUAUAUAAAUACAGUCAUUGGAACUCUCCCACACUACUAGUGGGAAUGGAAAAUGGCACAACUGCUUUGGAAAACAAUUUGGCAAUUUCUUAAGAAGUUAAAAAUAUACUCACCUAUGACCCAAGAGGAAAGAAAGUGCAUGUUUAUGCAAAGAUUUUUACAUAAAUGUUCCCAGCAGCUUUAUUCAUAAUAAUCAAAAACUGGAACAUCCCAAAUAGCCAUCAACAGGUAAAUGGAUAAACAAACUCUGGCACAUCUAUAUGAUGAAAUAAGAAGGAAUAAAUAGGAAUGUCUGGAAUACUAGGAAUAAGUAGAAUUAACUGUAAUAAAGAAUAAAGGAUGAUAACACACAACAUGGGUGAUUCUCAAAAUUAUGCCUAGUGAAAGAAGCCAGGCAAAAGAGAGUAUAGUAUAUUGCAUGAUUCUAUUUACAUAAAAUUCCAUAUUAGCAGGAUUCAUAGUGAUAGAAAGGCAAUCAGUGGUUGUCUGGGAAAGGAGGGAUUCAUGGGGAGGAAAGGAUUAUGAAGAGGCAUUAAGAAACUUUGGAAGGUGAUGGAUGUGUUCACUAUUCUGAUUGCAGUGAUGGCUUCAUGGAUGUUUACAUAAGACAAAACUUAUUAAAUUGUACAUUUAAAUAUAUGCAGCUUAUUUAGGGUCCAUUAAACCCACAAUAAAGUUGUAAAAUUAAAAAUGGAUAUAUUCAGACAGAAUUUCUUUAGAUUUAACGGAAUAGAUAAAUGUACUAAUCAUGAAGACAACUAAGAGCCAACUUCUUUUAAAACAAAGACUUUAUCAAGUUUCCAGGAGUUUUUUUUAGUUUUUAAUGGACAACUCAUUACUU
rnacentral:lncRNA from 10 species